AUUGAACGCUGGCGGCAUGCUUUACACAUGCAAGUCGAGCGGCAGCACGGGGGGGUAACCCUCUGGUGGCGAGUGGCGAACGGGUGAGUAAUGCAUCGGAACGUACCGUGUAGAGGGGGAUAACUAUCCGAAAGGAUGGCUAAUACCGCAUGAGCCCUGCGGGGGAAAGCUGGGGACCGGAGAAGGCCUGGCGCUAGACGAUUGGCCGAUGUCCGAUUAGCUAGUUGGUGAGGGAAAGGCUCACCAAGGCGACGAUCGGUAGUGGGUCUGCGAGGACGAUCCGCCACACUGGAACUGAGACACGGUCCAGACUCCUACGGGAGGCAGCAGUGGGGAAUUUUGGACAAUGGGCGCAAGCCUGAUCCAGCAAUGCCGCGUGAGUGAAGAAGGCCCUUGGGUUGUAAAGCUCUUUCGGUCGGGAAGAAGGAGGAGUGGUUAAGAGCUGCUCUGACGGACGGUACCGGCAUAAGAAGCACCGGCUAACUACGUGCCAGCCGCCGCGGUAA
rnacentral:rRNA from 1 species